rnacentral:rRNA from 1 species
CAUCUCCCUUACACCGAGAAGCCGCCCGUGCAAAUCGAGCCACCCUGACGCCCAAUUGCUAGCUCAAAAGACAUUUUUAAAAGUUUGAUAUUACUAACAAUAGAUAACCUAAAAACCCACAACAAACCAUUUUUCCCCCCAAGUAAAGGCGAUAGAAAAGGGACCAUGGAGCUAUAGACAAAGUACCGCAAGGGAACGCUGAAAAAGAAGUGAAACAAAUCAAAUAAGCCUAAUAUAGCAGAGACCCCAACUCGUACCUUUUGCAUCAUGAUUUAGCAAGUAAGACCCAAGCAAAGAGACCUAUAGUUUGGAACCCCGAAACUAAGCGAGCUACUCCAAGACAGCCCAAUUGGGGCCAACCCGUCCCUGUGGCAAAAGGGUGGGAAGAGCUUUGAGUAGAGGUGAUAAACCUACCGAGCAUAGUUAUAGCUGGUUGCCUGAGAAAUGAAUAGAAGUUCAGCCCCCCGGCUUACUGCCCCACCUUAGUACUACUAAAAUUGGGCACAGGAAACCAGAGGAGUUAGUUAAAGGAGGUACAGCUCCUUUUUAAUAGAAACACCUUUUACAGAUGGCCAAAGAUCAAA